AAGAAAAAGAAAAUAGACGGACCUGCUCCUUAUAUUCUCUUUCCAAAGCCAGUGCCUGAGAGCAACUGGAAACAAGAAAGAGAAAGGUUGGUACCAUGUGACUGGCCAGCUCUCUACAGACCACCAGAGUUUCAUGAACCACAGACUGAGAAUCAUCUUAUUGGCACUUACAAGUAACAGUAAUAGGGUAUGCAGGCGGGAAUCAGUUUGCUCUGCAAACAGGCCCUGACCAUCAAAGGGG